rnacentral:tRNA from 1 species
GGGCCCAUAGCUCAGUUGGCAGAGCCCCCGGCUCAUAACCGGAUUGUCCCAGGUUCAAACCCUGGUGGGCCCACCA